UACGUAGGGGGCAAGCGUUGUCCGGAAUCAUUGGGCGUAAAGCGCGUGUAGGCGGCCUGGAAAGUCUGGUGUGAAAUCCUGCGGCUCAACCGCAGACUGUCACUGGAUACUGUCAGGCUUGAAUCCGGAAGAGGAGUGUGGAAUUCCUGGUGUAGCGGUGGAAUGCGCAGAUAUCAGGAGGAACACCAAUGGCGAAGGCAGCACUCUGGUACGUGAUUGACGCUGAGACGCGAAAGCGUGGGGAGCAAACAGG
rnacentral:rRNA from 1 species